UCCUCUCGUUGGGCCUUCACAUACG
rnacentral:sRNA from 1 species